rnacentral:rRNA from 1 species
UAACGCGUGGAUAACCUGCCUUUCACAGGGGGAUAACAGCUGGAAACGGUUGCUAAUACCGCAUGAGCCUCUUUUGUCGCAUGACGGGAGAGGGAAAGAGAAAUCGGUGAGAGAUGGAUCCGCGUCCGAUUAGCUAGUUGGAGGGGUAACAGCCCACCAAGGCGACGAUCGGUAGCCGACCUGAGAGGGUGGACGGCCACAUUGGGACUGAGACACGGCCCAAACUCCUACGGGAGGCAGCAGUGGGGAAUAUUGCACAAUGGGGGAAACCCUGAUGCAGCAACGCCGCGUGAGUGAGGAAGUAUUUCGGUAUGUAAAGCUCUAUCAGCAGGGAAUAGAAAAGAAGGUACCUGAAAAAGAAGCCCCGGCUAACUACGUGCCAGCAGCCGCGGUAAUACGUAGGGGGCAAGCGUUAUCCGGAUUUACUGGGUGUAAAGGGAGCGUAGACGGAAAGGCAAGUCAGAAGUGAAAACCCAAGGCUCAACCAUGGGACUGCUUUUGAAACUGUCAAACUAGAGUACGGGAGAGGUAAGAGGAAUUCCUAGUGUAGCGGUGAAAUGCGUAGAUAUUAGGAGGAACACCAGUGGCGAAGGCGUCUUACUGGACCGAAACUGACGUUGAGGCUCGAAAGCGUGGGGAGCAAACAGGAUUAGAUACCCUGGUAGUCCACGCGGUAAACGAUGAAUACUAGGUGU